rnacentral:rRNA from 1 species
UACGUAGGUGGCAAGCGUUGUCCGGAUUUACUGGGCGUAAAGAGCGCGCAGGCGGUUGUGCAAGUCGCGUGUGAAAGCCCCCGGCUCAACUGGGGAGGGUCACGCGAUACUGCUCGACUUGAAGGCAGGAGAGGGAAGUGGAAUUCCCGGUGUAGUGGUGAAAUGCGUAGAUAUCGGGAGGAACACCAGUGGCGAAGGCGACUUCCUGGCCUGUUCUUGACGCUGAGGCGCGAAAGCUAGGGUAGGCAAACGGGGAUUAAGU